AUGUGACCUCAAAUCAGGUAGGAC
rnacentral:rRNA from 1 species